rnacentral:rRNA from 1 species
UCACCUGCCGAAGCAACUAGCCCUGAAAAUGGAUGGCGCUCUAGCGUCGUGCCUAUACCGGGCCGUCAACGGCAAAGUGGGCUGCUGCCAGGCCGGUUAACGCCGGCCUGCUCGGCCGUUAAGCCUUGACGAGUAGGAGGCGCGCGGCGGUGUGCGCAGAAGGGUCUGGGCGUGAGCCUGCCUGGAGCCGCCGUCGGUGCAGAUCUUGGUGGUAGUAGCAAAUACUCUAGCGAGGGCCUGGAGGGCUGAUGUGGAGAAGGGUUUCUUGUGAACAGCCGUUGCACAAGAGUCAGUCGACCCUAAGCCCUAGGAGAAAUCCGAUGUUGAUGGGCAGCGAUCGAUCGGCCCGGUUUGUGCGUCGCUGCGGCGGCGGCAACACGGCCAGCCGACUGCUCCCGUCGGGCGAAAGGGAAUCCGGUUCCUAUUCCGGAACCCGGCUGCGGAACCGUCACUUCGCGGGCACUCGCCUGCGAGAGCUCGUCGGGGUAACCCAAAAUGACCCGGAGACGCCGGCGGGAGGUCUGGAAAGAGUUGUCUUUUCUUUAUAAGCGUUCGAGUUCCCUGGAAUCCUAUAGCAGGGAGAUAGGGUUUGGAACGCGAAGAGCACCGCAGUUGCGGCGGUGUCCGGACCUUCCCCCCGGACCUUGAAAAUCCGGGUGAGGGCUACGCGGAAAUGUCGCGCCGGCUCGUACCCAUAUCCGCAGCAGGUC